UACGAAGGGUGCAAGCGUUGUUCGGAAUUAUUGGGCGUAAAGCGCACGUAGGCGGCCGUUUAAGUCUCGCGGUGAAAGGCCGGGGCUCAACCCCGCGCUUGCCAGGGAUACUGGACGGCUGGAGACAGGUAGAGGCGAGUGGAAUUCCGGGUGUAGCGGUGGAAUGCGUAGAGAUCCGGAAGAACACCAGAGGCGAAGGCGGCUCGCUGGACCUGAUCUGACGCUGAGGUGCGAAAGCGUGGGGAGCGAACAGG
rnacentral:misc_RNA from 1 species